rnacentral:rRNA from 1 species
UACGUAGGGUGCAAGCGUUAAUCGGAAUUACUGGGCGUAAAGCGUGCGCAGGCGGUUAUGUAAGACAGAUGUGAAACGCCCGGGCUUAACCUGGGAACUGCAUUUGUGACUGCAUGGCUAGAGUUUGGCAGAGGGGGGGUGAGAAUUCCACGUGUAGCAGUGAAAUGCGUAGAUAUGUGGAGGAACACCGAUGGCGAAGGCAGCCCCCCUGGGUCGAAGAGCU